AACUCAGUGGUUAAGAGUGUCUGACUCGUAAUCAGAAGGUCGUAGGUUCAAGUUCAAAUCUCGCUACA
rnacentral:tRNA from 1 species